UACAUUCUUCGGGGCAGGGUGAAAUUCCCUACCGGCGGUGAUGAAGGUGAAGACCUUCUAAGUCCGUGACCCGUUAACGCGAAGUUAACGGUGGAUCUAGUGAAACUCUAGGGCCGACAGUUAAAGUCUGGAUGGGAGAAGAAAUGC
rnacentral:ncRNA from 1 species